GGGUGAAUCUUCCACAAUGGACGAAAGUCUGAUGGAGCAACGCCGCGUGAGCGAUGAAGGCCUUCGGGUCGUAAAGCUCUGUUGUUAGGGAAGAACAAGUAUCGGAGUAACUGCCGGUACCUUGACGGUACCUAACCAGAAAGCCACGGCUAACUACGUGCCAGCAGCCGCGGUAAAUAAAAAAA
rnacentral:rRNA from 1 species